UGCGUUUCCCAAUUCCUCUCAUGGAAAAUAAAAAACUUGCACCUUUGGAGCAGAAGGACUCAGGAACACUAGCAGGGACAUAACUACACCAAGCAACCCUCGUCCCACACUGGGCACAGGUGGCUCUAUUGUGGAGUGAGGCUGUGGCUGAAAGAGUCCAUGUUAGCCCAGGGUAAUCUGCCAGCCUGCUGACAAGCCUACAUCUAAACCCCUGGAACCUCACAAAGCAUGGGGGACACAACGGGGUACCUCUGGCAAGUUACCGUUGAUCAUGGGGCUUCAUCACAGCAAUGGGAAAGUAGUCAAUACGUUUACCAGGAUUACCGCAGGAUCGAAAUCCCUCGAUGCCGAGUGCAGCCACGGGGCUUGCUUCUCCUGCACCCAGAGUGGUCCAGUUGUCCGCCCCGAAACUCUGAACUGAGUCCCUUUAGGAGCAACUGUAACUCUCACAUCUCUGAGCACAGAUGCCGCCGGUUCAAGGAGGAGGAGUGCGAUACUCGCAGAGAUGACCACUGGAAGUUGGUACCAAUGCCUGCACACUCCACAAUGCCCAAACAAGAACGCUGGCUUCUUCCUAACGGAA